rnacentral:tRNA from 1 species
GCCUGGGUAGCUUAGCUGGUUAAGCCUCUGGCUCUGGAUUUCAGCUCAGGUCAUGGUCUCAGAGUCGUGGGAUCGAGCCCCACGCCAGGCU